CAGUCGCCGCGGUAAUACGAAGGGUGCAAGCGUUACUCGGAAUUACUGGGCGUAAAGCGUGCGUAGGUGGUGGUUUAAGUCCGUUGUGAAAGCCCUGGGCUCAACCUGGGAAUUGCAGUGGAUACUGGGUCACUAGAGUGUGGUAGAGGAUAGUGGAAUUUCCGGUGUAGCAGUGAAAUGCGUAGAGAUCGGAAGGAACAUCUGUGGCGAAGGCGACUAUCUGGGCCAACACUGACACUGAGGCACGAAAGCGUGGGGAGCAAACAGGAUUAGAGACUCGAGUAGUCCCUGUCUCUUAUAC
rnacentral:rRNA from 1 species